UACGUAGGGUGCAAGCGUUAAUCGGAAUUACUGGGCGUAAAGCGUGCGCAGGCGGUUGUGCAAGACAGAUGUGAAAUCCCCGGGCUCAACCUGGGAACUGCAUUUGUGACUGCACGGCUGGAGUGCGGCAGAGGGGGAUGGAAUUCCGCGUGUAGCAGUGAAAUGCGUAGAUACGCGGAGGAACACCGAUGGCGAAGGCAAUCCCCUGGGCCUGCACUGACGCUCAUGCACGAAAGCGUGGGGAG
rnacentral:rRNA from 1 species